rnacentral:rRNA from 1 species
AGAAUCAACGCUGGCGGCGUGCCUAACACAUGCAAGUCGCACGAGAAAGGGUAGCAAUACCUGAGUAAAGUGGCGCACGGGUGAGUAACACGUGAAUGAUCUACCUCCGAGUGGGGAAUAACUGAGAGAAAUCUUAGCUAAUACCACAUAACACUUACGAGUCAAAGCAGCAAUGCGCUUGGAGAGGAGUUCGCGGCCGAUUAGUUAGUUGGCGGGGUAAUGGCCCACCAAGACGAUGAUCGGUAU